rnacentral:tRNA from 1 species
GGAGGGAUGGGUGAGUGGUUGAAACCAGCGGUUUGCUAAACCGUCGCAGAUUCUAAAAUCUGCCGAGGGUUCGAAUCCCUCUCCCUCCG